ACAGGAGAAGUUUCUUCCUGAAGCAGCUGUUCUUAAAGUGUCUACUCUCUCUCUCUUUCUCAACCUCAUAGGUCAACCUCUGACCUAGGGGACAUGGGAGUUUGACAAGAAACUAACUCCACUGUCAUCUCAAAGGCAAUUAGACACAUCAAUUGGUAUCAGCUCUAAAGAGAGAUGAUGACUGAGUCAUGAUUCUAUAUGUUAUCUUCAAGAUUGUUGUUGCUGGCAGUUUCACAGCUGUGUUGGAAUUCAAGGUGAUCUACUGGAGGAAGAGGGUGCAGAAACCAGCACAUGUAAAAAUCCCCCAUCCUUCCUUAAAGAAAGAAAACAGAAACAAUUGUGUUGGUUAUGUUUGUCUGCCACUAAAAUUGGCCAUAAGGAAAAACUGUGAUCUGAGUGCCCCUUUACCUAAUCUUUCUUCCUUGCUCCCUGCAGCUGACAGCAUUGUAUAACCCUCAGUAAUAUAACAAAUGGGCCACGGGCAGGAGCGAUAAUGAAGAAGUGAGGUUUCCAGCCAAAUUUAGACAGAAACACAUUUUUUCCCACAGAACUUGGCCCCUUGGAGCAAGAUUUUGUUUUUCUCCAGUAAGGAGCACUCCAUCUAUCCAUUUAUUUAUAUUGUUAAUGUUUGGAGCUUAGUCUAUAUCUGAGAUUGGUGUGUUAUGUAUAAAACACUGUUUGCCUUGAAGCUGUAAUAUAUAUGGGUAUAUAUAUUACAUACACAUGCCCGUAUAUAUUACAGCCUCAAGACAAGCAGUCUUGUAAAGGAAAGAACCAAAUGUACGUCAUUAAGAGUUAAUCAAUUGAAGGGGUGAAUGGCAUUGUUCUGUUCUCCUCAUGCACUAAAUCUAUAACAUAGUGGAAUUUCUUGCCCAUUUGGGUUAUAUAUUAAUAUUUAAGUACUACAAUGUGCUUGGCAAGUUCUAAAAUAUAUCCAGUCCUUGUCCUAGAGAAUGUAGAUUCUAACAUAAUGAACUGGAGAAGACUGGAUGCAUAAAGAGGGAUUUGCAUUGAACAUUUCAAAUGUUCAAUUUUAAUCACUGAUUUUUGUCACUGUAGAAGUGAGUCUUUGGGAGGUACUUGAAUUGGGAAAAAAGUAUAGUGAAUUGUGGUGGGGAGAAUGUAUCAUGCUUUGUGGCCAGGCAGGAAAAGGCAUAACAGGUGGUGGAUUAUUAUUUUUAUUCAUAUUACUGUACCAGCUACAAGCCCCAAGUGAAAUCGGCGGCCCAUUGUGCUAGGCACCGUACUCACAUGUUAAAAUCUUGCCCUAAGAGCUUACUCCUUAAAUAAAUUAAGUCUAAACAGAAAAGGUUGUGAGAGGAAAGAGACCCAGAGAUCAAGUAACUUGUCCAAUGUCAAAUAGCAGGACAGUAGCAGAGCAGGGACUAAAACUUAAGGCUUCUGAGACCAGGGACCUACCUGUCCACUAGACCGGUUGCAGACAUAUGGAGUAGCAUGGAAGAAACUAUGGAGGUGAAGAAAGGAAUGAAGUGGUGUGGUCACAAUGAGAAACAAAAACAGAGAUUUUGGCAGGGCACAAUUGUGCAGAACUUUGAAGACAAGAAUGAAAAGCUAGCUUGAUGCAGAAGUCAGUGAAGGGAUUCGUAGAGGAUCAGGACAAAGCUAUGGGUGAAGAGAUGAUAUUCAUUGUCACCUUCUUGAUGACCUGGAGGGGGAAGUAGGGAAUUGGGGAUUAUAAGAUUGCAGAGGUGAGAUGUAUUUCCUACAUCUGCUCAGGCCUAGAAAUAUAAAAAUGUCAUAUAUGUCAUACACAUAUAUGUAAACCUUACCUGAGCUUGUUUGAACCUGAAAAAAGGUUCAAAUAAGUCUAGAAAAAGGCUUAAGUGGGAUGCUAUUUAUUUCAAGCUAUACCACUCAUUCCUAUUUCUGUUUUGAAACAAAAACAAUGAGAAACCCUCCUGCACUAUAAUUCCCAGGACUGGGCCAAACACAGGUUAAAGAGUCUGUGAGCAAAAACAAAGCAUUUAACUGCUCAGCAUUGCUGUCAGCACACUAUAUUAAUUAAGGGUCCAGGCUCUGUUACUUGCACUUGUUUAUUUCAUAUUUUAUAUUUAUCUUAGCCUGAAUUUGAAGUGCCUUCUGAUUGCCCUUCUUAUCCUGUGAAACAUUUGUACAGUAUUGUUCCAAAUUAACUACUACAAUAUCUGCUCAGUUGCGAGACAAUUGAGGUCAUAAGCGGUGCAAGGAUUCCUUAUCUACAUGAGACAGGGCUGAAUUUGCCCCUGGUGAUAACCUCACUGACUUCAAUUACAACCCUUUUUUCAGUGGAAAAAUGACACAAACCUGAUUUUAAGUCAUUUGGGAUUUGGGCCCCUAAGUGCUUGAGUCACUUUUGGAAAUUGGACUUAGGUUCCUAAAUCACAUAGGCACUUUUAAAAAUGUUGCCCUUGGUGAAUGAGUUUUCUCCAGAUAAUGAAAAUAACUGCACAAAGCAAUAACGAUACAGAUAAUAUAGGCAGAAAUGAAGCAGAUAUGCGAUUAAAAAACAAAACAAAACAACAACCCUCAUCACAGGUUCCGCAGACUUGUGAAUAAAACCAGCAGCAAUGUUACAAAUCCUUAGUGCCACAAGAGGCAGUUAAAAGGGCUCAGAAUCACUUACCAAGAGGAAAAUGGAAGGAGAAUAAUAGGUUUCAAGGACACAUGUCCACAUGACUUAAUGGGGUUUACAUCCCAGAGUCAAGAAUGAGCCUGUGUCAAGUCAUUCAGAUACAAUAGUUAUAGAUUAAAUUAGAUAAAUUAAAAAUCUAGACCUGUUUGAACACCUCCAACAUGCAAUAUGCAAACCCAGAUUUGAAUGUUGCAUUUUGAAUCACCUCUGGCAAAUAUAGAUACAUAAUCCAUUCAUGUCAUAUAAAUGUUAUAGUUUCCAGAAAUAAGUGAACAAUUCACUAUAACAUGAAUAUUAUCAUGAAUUAUGGCAUAUCCAAUUACAUCAAGAGCUUGCGUCCAAAGAUAUUUCAGGGAGGAAAUAUGCAUAAGACUGAACUCAGAACAAAAACAAAUGAAGGAACAUUUAAAAAAUUAAGACAGCAAUUCACAGAAUAUGAUUAACAGGAGGAAAUUAUUAAACCAUGAAUUUCUAAUACACAUGAAUGAGUAACUCUAAGUCUUUUCUUUUUCUGGCAUGAACUACAAAAGUUUGAAAUUCAUAAAACUGCAUUGACAUGAUGAGGAAGUGUCUUAGUUGUGCCUGCCAGAUAAUUAUUUGGAAAAAAAAAAAAAAUCCCAGAAACGAAACAUGGGCCAAACCAAAACUCUAGAUCCAAACAUCCAUGAAUAAUAGUAUGAAAUCUAGAUAGUCAGCUCAGAAAUGUGUGGCUUCAGUCCAUUUAAACAGUGAAAAGCAUCUUCUCUGUCAAAAAUAUAUUGCUCAUCCCUUGGCCCGCACUGCUUCCCUCAGCCCCCAUUGGACUGGAGCGGUGAACUGUGGCUAGUGGGAGCUGCGAUUGGCCGAACCUGCAGAA